rnacentral:rRNA from 1 species
AUCAGGUGCCACAUCACCCUGCAACUCACAACUGGGAACUCACUGAAGCUCAGCAGGUGUGAGCCUGGGUAGUACCUGGAUGGGACACCUCCUGGGGAAAACUAAGGUUGCUGCUGGAA